GAUGAAGAACGUAGCGAAAUGCGAUAAGUAAUGUGAAUUGCAGAGUUCAGUGAAUCAUCGAAUCUUUGAACGCACAUUGCGCCCCCUGGUAUUCCGGGGGGCAUGCCUGUCCGAGCGUCAUUGCUGCCCUCAAGCACGGCUUGUGUGUUGGGCCCCGUCCUCCGAUCCCGGGGGACGGGCCCGAAAGGCAGCGGCGGCACCGCGUCCGGUCCUCGAGCGUAUGGGGCUUUGUCACCCGCUCUGUAGGCCCGGCCGGCGCUUGCCGAUCAACCCAAAUUUUUAUCCAGGUUGACCUCGGAUCAGGUAGGGAUACCCGCUGAACUUAAGCAUAUCAAUAAGCGGAGGA
rnacentral:misc_RNA from 1 species